rnacentral:rRNA from 1 species
GCGCACCAGGCGCGAAACUUCGCAAUGCGCGAAAGCGCGACGAGGGAUUCCAAGUGCAUGCACUAAGUGUAUGCUUUUCGUGAGUUUAAAACGCUCACGGAAUAAGGGCUGGGUAAGACUGGUGCCAGCCGCCGCGGUAAUACCAGCGGCCCUAGUGGUGAUCGUUAUUAUUGGGCCUAAAGCGUCCGUAGCCGGUCCGGUAAAUCUCUGGGUAAAUCGUUGGGCUUAACUCAGCGAAUUCUGGGGAGACUGCUGGGACUUGGGACCGGGAGAGGUCGGAGGUACUCCAGGGGUAGGGGUGAAAUCCUGUAAUCCUUGGGGGACCACCGGUGGCGAAGGCGUCCGACCAGAACGGGUCCGACGGUAAGGGACGAAGCCCUGGGGCGCGAACCGGAUUAGAUACCCGCGUAG